rnacentral:rRNA from 1 species
GAUGAACGCUAGCGAUAGGCUUAACACAUGCAAGUCGAGGGGCAGCACAAGGUAGCUUGCUAUCUGGGUGGCGACCGGCGCACGGGUGCGUAACGCGUAUGCAACUUGCCCUAUACAGGAGGAUAACCCGUCGAAAGACGGACUAAUACUGCGUAUGCUCACAACUUGGCAUCAAGUGGUGAGGAAAGAAAUUCGGUAUAGGAUAGGCAUGCGUCCCAUUAGCUUGUUGGUGAGGUAACGGCUCACCAGGGCAACGAUGGGUAGGGGAACUGAGAGGUUUAUCCCCCACACUGGUACUGAGACACGGACCAGACUCCUACGGGAGGCAGCAGUGAGGAAUAUUGGUCAAUGGGCGCGAGCCUGAACCAGCCAAGUCGCGUGAAGGAUGACUGUCUUAUGGAUUGUAAACUUCUUUUAGACGGGAAUAACAAGAGUCACGUGUGACUCCCUGCAUGUACCGUAUGAAUAAGCAUCGGCUAACUCCGUG